UACGUAGGGUGCAAGCGUUAAUCGGAAUUACUGGGCGUAAAGCGUGCGCAGGCGGUUUUGUAAGUCCGAGAUGUGAAAUCCCCGGGCUCAACCUGGGAAACUGCAUUGGGACUGCAAGGCUGGAGUACGGCAGAGGGAGGUGGAAUUCCACGUGUAGCAGUGAAAUGCGUAGAGAUGUGGAGGAACACCGAUGGCGAAGGCAGCCUCCUGGGCUAGUACUGACGCUCAUGCACGAAAGCGUGGGGG
rnacentral:rRNA from 1 species